UAUAUAGUUAUAUAUUAAAAUACAAUUAAUUAAAUAUUUUAUAAAUAAAAAAAAAAAAAACGUAAAAUCAUUGCUUUUAUACUAAUAUAAAUAUUAUUUUUAUAACUUUUUUAGAAAGUUAGUUAAUAAAUUUUGCAAAAGAAAUAUUUGUAAAAUUAGUUAAAUUUGUGCCAGCAUCUGCGGUUAGACUAAGAAUUUAAUUGGUAUUAUUUAGGAUUUAUAAGGAAGGAAAAUUUAAAGAAUGUUAUUUGGUGAAAUAAUAUGUUGAAAAUUAAUUUAUUUUUUUAAAAAAGUUUAGUUAAAAGUAGGAUUAGAUACCCUGUUAUAGUAUAUUAUGGUUUUCUAAGGAUUAAUGGUAAAUUGAAAAGAUUUGGCGGCUGAGAUAAAUUAAAGGGGUUUGUUUUAUUAUUUGAUAUGACUCAUUAUAUUUUACUUAUUUUAUUUAGUAUAUUGUCAUUUAAAUUAUUUAUAAUUAAUUAAUUAUUAUAAUGUGUUUAAUGAAACUAGAUCAAGGUGCAGAAAUAGAUAAGGCUAAAUUAACUACAAUAAAAUAUUAUUAAACUUGCCUUUUUUAAAAAAUUGAUGUAGGUGGAUUUAAUUGUAAUUAAAGUGUCAUGAAAAUUAUUUUAGUGUACAAAUUGCCCGUCAUUCUCUUUGAGACAAGUCGAAACAAAGUAGGGCUAUCGGAAGUUGGGCCUA
rnacentral:ncRNA from 1 species